AGGGCAGUAGCUCAGAAGGGAGAGCGCGUGAUUGCGUAUCACGAGGCCGCGGGUUCGAUCCCCUUCCGCUCUACCU
rnacentral:tRNA from 1 species